rfam:Canis lupus familiaris chromosome 13, whole genome shotgun sequence.
CUACAUUUAGUAGCACAUAUACUAAAACUGGAACAAUACAGAGAAGAUUAACAUGCCCCUGUGCAAGGAUGACACACAAAUUCAUGAAGCAUUCCGUAUUUUU